rnacentral:lncRNA from 1 species
CCUGCUUAUCAGUGUAAACUUUGGAUCCAAACAGAUAAAGAAAUCACUAUCAAGUGCAUCAGCCAGUUCUAAAUAACAGAAUAGCCCCAUGUAUUGACCAGUACACUGAUAUCAUAGCAUCUGAGGAAUUAAACAGGGAUCUGAGGGAUGUUCUUUGCUCUGGUGCACUUGAUGAUCCACUUAUCACAGCUGUGCUAAAAAGACUGUUUGUUGAACCUAGGAAAUUACAACAGGCAUUUGUUGAACCUAUAAAUUGACAAGAAGAACAAGGAAACACAAUAAUACUGACUCUACUAUCAUCCUAAACCUUGCCUUGGCUGAGAUUUGGCUGGAAGGAUAUUCACUCUGUGCAGGGGAUAAUACCAUAUAGCUUCAGCAGUGAGUAAAAAUGGUAGUAGUUAUUUCCUACUUAGAUAACAAAACUAAGAGGUGAACUAACUGUCUACAUAAUUCUUUGGAAAUUUACAAUUAAAGAGAAGAAAUCAAACCAUUCUGUUUAUAACCAUAAAAUAAAGAAAGUAUUAAUUUA